rnacentral:rRNA from 1 species
UACGGAGGAUGCGAGCGUUAUCCGGAUGUAUUGGGUUUAAAGGGUGCGUAGGCGGGCUUUUAAGUCAGCGGUAAAAAUUCGGGGCUCAACCCCGUCCGGCCGUUGAAACUGGGGGUCUUGAGUGGGCGAGAAGAAGGCGGAAUGCGUGGUGUAGCGGUGAAAUGCAUAGAUAUCACGCAGAACCCCGAUUGCGAAGGCAGCCUUCCGGCGCCCUACUGACGCUGAGGCACGAAAGUGCGGGGAUCGAACAGG